rnacentral:rRNA from 1 species
CCUACGGGUGGCAGCAGAGGGGAAUAUUGCGCAAUGGGGGAAACCCUGACGCAGCAACGCCGCGUGAGUGAAGAAGUAUCUCGGUAUGUAAAGCUCUAUCAGCGGGGAAGAAGGAAGACGGUACCCGACUAAGAAGCCCCGGCUAACUACGUGCCAGCAGCCGCGGUAAUACGUAGGGGGCGAGCGUUAUCCGGAUUUACUGGGUGUAAAGGGAGCGUAGACGGCGGCGCAAGUCUGAAGUGAAAGCCCGUGGCUCAACCGCGGAACCGCUUUUGAAACUGCGAGGCUGGAGUGCUGGAGAGGUAAGCGGAAUGCCUGGUGUAGCGGUGAAAUGCGUAGAUAUCAGGAGGAACAUCGGUGGCGUAAGCGCUUUACUGGGCCGUAAUUGACGCUGAGGAACGAAAGCCAGGGUAGCAAAUGGGAUUAGAUACCCGGGUAGUC